UGAUUGCUCCUGUGAUUGAUUCUGAGCUGUGAAUUUGUUGUUGUUGCAACUGUUGUUGCUGCUGAGUUUUCGAAUUGUUCUUGCUUGUUGAAGAACAACUUUGAAUUUUUUUUUACUAACAACUUCUGAAUUUGUUAAUUGUAACAACUUUGAAUUCUUGUUACUAACAAGCUCUUUUUCUCUUUUUUUUUUGAAAUUGUUGAUUGUAACAACUUUUGAAUUUUGUUGUUGUAGGCUUUUUUUGAUGAAGGUGAUGCUACAACAUCUCUCUCUUUGGAUUGUGGGAGACUUGAAGAUGAAGAUCUUCAAGUGAGGACCUUUGAAGAAAGAAUGAAGAAAUUUGAACUUGAAGAAUGAAGACUUUGAAGAAUGAAGAAUUCAAGAAAGUCUUUGAAGUUUUUUUUCUUUUUUCUUGUAAUUCAUUCCAACUUGAAAAAUGUAUGAACUUUGUAUUCUUGAAAUGAUGCAAUUCUUGAACUUUAGAUAAAGUUCCUUUUGUAAUCCAUGUGUAACUUAGAACUUGUUUUAUGUAAAAGAAUUCCAUUUGGAAAUAUUCUUUUAGAAUCUUGAAUGAAAUUGUAUGGAACUUGAAUA